rnacentral:sRNA from 1 species
UUCACGCAGCUUGAAAGUAAGUCUUAUAUUUAUGCGCACAAUUUCGAUGGCUCGUCUUUUAGUACCUCGUCCUGUCCUUCAUAAGUAAUAGCAACACUUCCGGCAAAUCGGCUCAUUUUGAGCUUUUAAUUACUCUUGAAUAAAAUAUAGGAUAUGACUAUGUCAACUACUACUGGUACUGUUAAGUGGUUCAACGAAUCUAAAGGCUUCGGUUUCAUCGAGCAAGAAUCAGGUCCUGACGUUUUCGCUCACUUCAGCGCUAUCUCUGGUUCAGGUUUCAAAACCUUGGUUGAAGGCCAAAAAGUUGAGUUCACUGUAACUCAAGGCCAGAAAGGUCCUCAAGCUGAGAACAUCGUAGCACUUUAAUUUUUUAAAGCGCUUCAAGAAAAGGGCAAG